GACGAACGCUGGCGGCGUGCUUAACACAUGCAAGUCGAGCGGUAAGGCCCUUUCGGGGGUACACGAGCGGCGAACGGGUGAGUAACACGUGGGUGAUCUGCCCUGCACUUCGGGAUAAGCCUGGGAAACUGGGUCUAAUACCGGAUAUGACCAAAGGCUGCAUGGCUUUUGGUGGAAAGGGUUACUGGUGCAGGAUGGGCCCGCGGCCUAUCAGCUUGUUGGUGGGGUAAUGGCCUACCAAGGAGACGACGGGUAGCCGACCUGGGAGGGUGACCGGCCACGCUGGGACUGAGACACGGCCCAGACUCCUACGGGGGGCAGCAGUGGGGAAUAUUGCACAAUGGGCGAAAGCCUGAUGCAGCGACGACGCGUGAGGGAUGACGGCCUUCGGGUUGUAAACCUCUUUUCCCAGGGAAGAAAAAUGACGGUACCUGGGGAAUAAGUCACGGCUAACUACGUGCCAGCCGCCGCAGUAAAAC
rnacentral:rRNA from 1 species